CACAGACAUGUUACUAAAGCUCCCAAAACUCAUGAUAUAAAUCAGUUUUGUUUGAAAACAAAAGACAGUUUUAAAGCAAAAGAGAAAAAGUUACCAUAGCAUCUUCAGUUGAACUUUGUCGCAGUCACGCACAGAGAGGUAGAUGUGGUCGGCGGGGAAACCAGUGUUCAAAUGACGGAAGGGUUGCGUCUACAACUCUGGCAGGCAGACAGUGUCUACUUCCUCUAAAGCCCCAAGGCUGUGGGGGUGAGACUUGAAAACCUUUGUGCUCCAUGGAGGCAGCACACUCACCAAACAGACUCACUGCCUCCUCGUCCCCAGCAUGGUCCCCACAGGCCGUGCAGCGUGGAUCUCUGCCAGGCCUGACACCAGUGUUAUAGCUAUGCUCAGAAUUAUGAAGUCCCGAGACAGUGACACAGAGGACCUGGUGCUAACACCAUAACACCAGCGCCAACCACGGUAACUAUGACAUAAACUACCAUCAUCUACAACACCAAUGCUAACCAUAACAUAACCCAACACCACUGAAAAGCCCAGGGAAUUCUGAAGGAAUGAUUGAUUGUGGGUCCACAGCCCCCACUACCAACAGCAAAGGCAGCUGCUGGGGAGACCCGUGAUGCCUGUUCCAACACUAAGCAGGAAGCUCAGGAAAGACGCUCCCACCACUGUUCAGUAUGCUGCUUUAGCUUCUUGUUUGGGUUCAGCGUAGGCUUUUCUGGAGUCCUUUCCAAAGCUGGUGCCCAGUUCCCGGACUCAUCCUGUUGACAGCUCGGAACGAUUUGGAACAGUGUAACAGGAAUGUGCUUGGAACCAGCUGUGGAAUGUGAACACAUAAUCCACUGUUGAUUUCUGUGACUCUCCAGCUGACUGUGACAUUUGGGUGUUGCACGGGGAUGUUGUGUGUAAGUAAAAUGGGAAACUAAGGAAUGAUGGAAGGGAGAAGCAUACUGAGGUACGAUUGCAGACGUCCCAAAGCACUGUCCGAGUUCACGGCAACACUCACCAGGACUUUCUCUGAAGCAGCCGA
rnacentral:lncRNA from 1 species